UACGUAGGGGGCAAGCGUUGUCCGGAAUUAUUGGGCGUAAAGAGCGUGUAGGCGGUCCGUUAAGUCGGCUGUGAAAGUCCAGGGCUCAACCCUGGGAUGCCGGUCGAUACUGCCGGACUAGAGUUCGGAAGAGGCGAGUGGAAUUCCCGGUGUAGCGGUGAAAUGCGCAGAUAUCGGGAGGAACACCUAUGGCGAAGGCAGCUCGCUGGGACGUUACUGACGCUGAGACGCGAAAGCGUGGGGAGCAAACAGG
rnacentral:rRNA from 1 species